AGCGCGUGACAUGUCCAUCCAAGGCCCAUACUUGCCUUAUUUGCCGCCUCUGUCUUCUUCCAUUGCCAUGGGUGUUCCUCUCCUCAUCGUACUCUCCCGUCGCCGCCGACGUGCUCCGACGGAGAGACGGAGCGCUGCUCAAUACCAUAAACCCUAACUUGGACCCAGCCACCACCUUUGCCAUGGAGAAUGCCCUCGCGCCGGCGGCGCCUGCUGACCCGCUCGCGGCCGGCUCCGCCGCCCCAACCACCCUUCUCCUCAGUCGCCGACGAUCACAUCUCGACAGCGCCUCCUACCGCACUCUCUCCCGACUCUUCUCCCACUUCCUCCACCUCAACCCUUCGCAGCAUGCCGCACCGGCGCACCUGGGAAUCGAGCCCGCCGCCGCAAACCCUAUCGGCGAUGCGUCCCCACAGGGGGCCUCGGCGGCGCCUAAAGAUGCUGAGUUUGAGCAGGGGAAGGAUAUAGAAGAGCAGGUGGCUGCGGCAAGCACUUCCGGCGUCGAGACCCCGGCACAUGUGGUAGUCGAGGCAGCCGCGGGGUACCCUAUUGCCGACCUGGACAUGGCCUCACAGGAAUCCGCCGGGCAUGAAGUCGCGGGGGUUGAGCUGGUAGAGGGUCUAGAAGAUAUGGUUGCUGAGGGAAUCGCCUGCCGCAAGACCCCUGCGCUAGUUGAGGAGUUGGGUGGUGAAGCUGAACUAAUGGGGACAGACGAGGUUUUGAGAUCCAUGGAGGCUUCCUUGGAGGGAGAGAUUGAGGAAUCAGCAGAAUUAGCAGUGGCCAAUGACGAUGAACAUCUUCUGCUUGAUACGAUGAUGAGCAAAUUGUCAGGGUUGAUUGGUGAUGCCAGUGGUGGCACAAUGUCAAUGCAGAACUGUGGGGUUUCCAGAGGUGAACCGCAGAAUCAUGGCAAGAUAGCUGAGGGGGUGAAAGAAUUCGUUUAUGGAAUUGAAGAAAGCACACCCGUAGGCAAUUCAGAUCAUCAGUCAGUUGAUGGUGGUGGGUUUGAGGAAGGAGAGAUUGAGGGUGACAUGCAGACUUUGGAUGCAGAUGAAUCUGGUGAUUCCGAGCUUGAAGCUGCAGAUGAUGAGAAGUUGGAAGAGGAUUUUGCUACCAGAGGGUCAGGGGAGAAUGAAUCAUCUGACCAUGGCAUACGAUGUUUGAAUUCGCUUUCAAUGCUUGGAAUUAAAGGAAGUGGUGAUCUUGUACUAAACAAGGAAGGUGAUAUCAAGGCUGAUGCACAAAUGCAUGUUCCCAGGGCACAAGCAGUCGGUUAUGAUGAAGUUGUGGAAUGGAACGAGACACCAUUGCAUGAUGCCGAGGCUCCCAGACCAGGAAAGAGAAAACGAAUUUUCACAGAGGAAAGAAAGGCUAAGAAGACGAAAAAUAAACGAGUUAAGAGGGCACUGCAACGGGAAGCUGAUGGGGUGAAAAGACUGAAGCUUGCACCAAUUAUAAAGCCAAAAGUAGUGCGGUAUUGCCACUUCUACUUGCACGGGAAGUGCCAGCAGGGCAAUGUUUGCAAGUUCUCCCAUGAUACUACACCUUUGACAAAAUCUAAGCCCUGCACGCAUUUUGCCCGUGGUUCUUGUUUGAAAGGAGAUGAUUGUCCUUAUGAUCAUGAGUUGUCGAAGUACCCUUGCCACAAUUUUCUGGGAAAUGGAAUGUGUUUGAGAGGUGAUAAAUGCAAAUUUUCUCAUGUGGCACCAACUGCAGAUGAUUCUUCCACAAAAGAUGCAAAGAAAUCUGAUGCGUCAUUGGUGUCCGAAAAACUAACCAGCAAAGAGCAAAAUAGUAGUCAGAAAAUAUCAACAGUGCAUGAUGGCGAACCUGUAGCUUCUGCGCCUACCAAACAUUACUCCAUCCUCAAAACCCUUGGCAGCAUCUCAAAAAAUGCUCAAAAAGCAUCAGCUCAUAUGCCGAAGGGUGUACAGUUUCUUGCUUUCAGUAAAGGCAGAUCAGAUUCUAGCAUUCUGCAUCAGGAUGCGCCGCCCCCCGGGAAUUUUGUUGGACCACAGGCUGCAGAAGGGGAUAAAAAUGCCCAGCCCAAUAGACACAGAUCAGCUGCACGAUCCAAUGAGAACUCAUCAAAAGAAGCUAGUUCACAUCCAAUUUCAGAGCAAAAGAAAACUAGUUUGUCUGCUGACUCUAUUGCAGUGCUUGGAUCAGUGAGCACUCAGCAUGAAGUUUCAGAGGCUUCUAGGAUUUUGCAGGAAUUUUUGUUUGGUGCUGGCAAUUAGAGGAAACAUACAUGGAUGUUGUUCAGUGAUGAAUUCAUGCCAUGCGAGUGUGCUAUUUGUUUUGAUAAUUACUGUCCGGUUUCCUUGUUGUAGCUGCGUGUUGCAACUGCUAUUUUUGCAUUGGAUAUAAGCUGACUGGUGUGAUGGAUGCCUUCAUGAAUCAGCCACUGUUGACGUAUGAUUCUUAACACGUCGGAUGUUGCUCCGAGUUAAUAGAGUAUGUCGAUCUUAAAAUGUUUUCAUGUCAUAGUUGAUAUGUUAGUGAUAAUCAGUGGGACCAAAUUGUUCCUUCAUUUUCUUGCUAAUUUCCAGUUCAUAUUGUUCGUACUUGAUACCCUUCAUAAUAUGAUGAAUAACACUCUCUUUGGUAAGAUUAUAUCCAAAGGGAGUAAGAUUAUCUUAUGUUCUGUACUUAUUGAUCAGUACCUCUCUACUAGUUAAUGCAAUUUAAAUUUACAUGACAUGGUAAUGCCACUGAUAUAGGUUUUAGUUCUUUCUCUGAAAGCACACAGAUCACUUUGUAUUGGGUCCUUUUUUUCAGGUGCCUGGCUUGACUGAUGUUUUCACAGUGAAGUUAAAAUGAUUUCUAUUUUUUCGGGUGUGUGGCCAACAGUCCUUUUGUAUUAACCGGGGUUUUCACCCAGUUCUAGAAAGUUGUUUUUAUUUAUUGUUACAAAAGUGUGAGAUGGUAAGUAAUAUGUGAGAUAAGUCAACUAGAACUAUUGUUACAAAUGCCUGACUGCUUGCUUUCCACGUCAACAUGAUCUUUGAGACUGGUUCAAUAGGGAGUAUUAGCUUUCUACUCCAUAUGUAAUGAAUUCUGGCAAGUGGCAACUUAAAUCUGAGACUGUUGUGCUACUACAACCUACAAUAGAAAGCUAACAUCAAGAUUCUAUCUGGUUCCUUCUCAGACAAAGUAUAUUAGUUGCAUUCAUCCCAGAUUUUUGUCUGGCGUAACAUUAAUCUGCAGAUAGUCACAGCCCUGCAGAAAUAUUGAACCAAAUCUUGUCAAUAAUUCCUCUGCCCGUUUAUUGAUUGAUAAAUUUAUCUGCAGCUUUGGGAUGGAAUCUAAUGUGGUUUUUUGUUUUGGUGUCAUGGAGGAGUUACUGUACAUCGGUUCACAAGGCAAAGCACUGGAGACUUGAUGUGUCAUUAUUCAGUUCCUAACAAGGGCUGCUUUUUUAGGCACCUCUUGUCAGAUUGAUUCAGGCCUCAAGAUUCUCCAGGCAAAGAGAGCUUUAAUUAGCUGCCCCAUGAUAAUAAUGGCAGCCAGAUUGCAGGCUUAGUCUCUUAUCAGUAAUGAUUCUGGGGACAUGCGAGGCAGAACCAUGGGUCCUUUGCUGGAAGACUGGUUUUAGCCCUGGUACAUUGGAUGGUUUGAACUUUGCAUGCCUGCAUGCGGUGCGGUGCCCGGCUGGAUCUCACAUCUCUUGGUUCAGAGCUGCUUGUGAACCUAAUCUUGGAGUCUGGAGACCUGUGGGACACAAGGGCAGGCAGAAUCAAAGGUGUCGCCAGGUCCCAGGUAUGAGCUGGACAGUGUAUAAUUGUUGUUGCUCCAUCUCAAGCUAAGCUUCCCCUGACCCUGACCUGCUGUCGAAAUCUCGCUGGUGUCGCAUCAAAUUCAGAAUUACGUUUCACAUGAUCACUGGGAGGGCUCACAUGUGGCGUUUUUAUCGCCCCUCUAGAUUUGCCAUACGAAGCAGACAUGGGUGACCGCGACUGUGUAUCUCACUACAGCACAGUCAGGGGUUUACUUUCUUCCUGUGAUGAUGACGAUCAUGUCCUCUUUCGUUGUUGAUGUUGUACGUGUUGCCGUGUCAUGGGAAUUGGGAACUGGAUAAGUUACUUCACGUGUCAACCUCUCGGUUUCAUUUCACCCUGAGGAACUGAAGGGUACCUAUUUUGUCGCUUUCUUUUUGAUGUUAUUGAUUCUGUACUGGAGAAAUGAGAUCUAUAUUAAGUCUGCCUUGACGGCAAUUUUCCUCACAA